CCGCAGAGGCAAACCCUCGUCUCCUCCAAACCUUGGAACCCUAGCCGCCGCCAGCGACAGCUUAGCGGAACACCUCUCAGAUCUCCAGCUUUUGCUUAUUUUUCGUUUGUUCAUCGCGUUUGGUGGCAUCUUGGCCACUUUUGAGUGCUAAUUGCUAGAGCACAUGCCUUUCUUUCUAUUGUUUCUUGGAUUUGAUGGUUUUGUUAUGGUUAACUCGCACCAUUAGCCCCCUGCUCUGUUGAGGUUCGGAGAAGGGAAAACUGCGGGAAAAGGGUAUAUAUGGGUGCAACAUCAAUCCAGUUGGACAGGGGCUAUGUUACUUCUGUGGAAGGCAGCGAUUUUCCUCGGGAUCAUUUUUUCUGUCCACAUUCACCUUGUUGUUCUAUAGUUUGGAUUCGUUUAGUCUAUUUAGAUCAUUUUAUCGAGCACAUGAUAAUGUUACAGUUGUUUUAGAAGCGAAAUGAGGAGGCGAAAUCAUCUGAAUUUAUGCUGUUGAUAUUACCUGCAUGGUCUUCAAAGUUCUCUGAUCGCUUCAUGCUCAAAUCUCUCAUGUGUAGUUAGCUGUGUUUGUUUACCUGAUUUCUGUUAGAGGUAGUAGCAUAACAAUCAACACAUCUGAAAAUCUACUACUGUGGAUACCUCUUAUCCAAUUAGCGCCUAUCUGGAUUUACCUUGGCAUUUUUCUUGCAAUAUGUAUACACUCUUUCUUUGAUUUUGAUGUUGCCUGAGGAAAAAAGAGCAUGUUUUAAGUUUUUUGAUUGCUUACUUGUGCUUACAGCCCACUUAUGCAAAUGGUAAUAUGUAGAUUUACAUUUUUCUUUUCCUCUUUGCAAUAUGUUUACACUCUUUCUUGAAUCUUGAUGUUGACCAAGGAAGAAAAUGCAUGUUUUAAGCUGCUGUAAAGCAAAAUGAGGACAUAUGAUCAGAAGUGAGAGUCGUUGCACCUCUGUUUCUUUUACCCUGCUCUCUGACCAUGUUUGUGGGGUAUUUACAUUGGUGCAAAAUGAAAAACUGUUCCUUGAAGCAGCAGCGGCCAGACAACCGUAGAGAUAGAUCCACAGAUGAAUGGCUAAUCUGCUGCUUGUCUACUAAUUCUAUCUCACAUCUCUGAUGAAUAUUUUCCUGUAUUUUAGUGUCAUAGGAUAGUUUCUCAUUGAAUAAAUAUCCAGUAUGCAAUAUCUAUGUUGCACCUGUGUAUUGUAUUGUCCUACUUUCUAGCUGUGCUAGUAGGAUAUAACACUGGUGCACAAAGGAAAAGCUGCUCCUCGGAGCAGCAGCGGCCAGACAACCGUAGAGAUAGAUCCACAGAUAUAUGGCUAAUCUGCUGCUUGUCUACUAAUUCUAUCUCACAUUUCUGAUGGUUAUUUUCCUGUAUUUUAGUAUCAUAGGAUAGUUAAGCAUUGCAUAAAUAUCCAGUGUUCACUGUCUAUGCUGCACCUGUGUGUUGUAUUCUCCUACUUUCUUGCCGUGCUAAUAGGAUAUAACACUGGUGCAAAAAGGAAAAGCUGCUCCUUUGAGCAGCAGCGGCCAGACAACCGUAGAGAUAGAUCCACAGAUGAAUGGCUAAUCUGCUACUUGUCUACUAAUUCUAUCUCACAUUUCUGAUGGUUAUUUUCCUGUAAUUUAGUAUCAUAGGAUAGUUUAACAUUACACAAAUAUCCAGUAUGCAUUGUCUAUGUUGCACCUGUGUGCUGUAUUGUCCUACUCUCUAGCGGUGCUAGUAGGAUAUAACACUGGUGCAAAAAGGAAAGGCUGCUCCUUUGAGCGGCAGCGGCCAGACAACCGUAGAGAUAGAUCCACAGAUGAAUGGCUAACGUGCUGUUUGUCUACUAAUUCUAUCCCACAUUUCUUGUCUGCAAUGAUUGACAUGUUUGCUCUAAUAUGCUUGUCAAGAUAGCUGUGCAUUUUGUGUCAAAAUGUUUGUUUAUUCAAAUCUAUAUGCUUUGUUUGUUGGUGUUUACUUUGCAUUACUGCACCUGUAAUUUGUACAUUUCUGCUUUCUUGUUAGUUGGUGGGAUUUUCAUAUGACAGUACUGAUCACACCAUCCAUGAAUAAAUCAAAAUGCAGCAGAACCAUUAGAUUGUCUAACGUAUAGAAAUUGUAACAAAAUUAUCGUAUGUCGAGUAGUUCUGUUCUUAUUAUGAUCGUGGGAUGUUAAGCAUGGUGCACAAGUGAAAUGCUCCAUACAUCAAUAUAUGGUCUUCAAAGUUCUCUGAUUGCUUAAUGUAUGUUAUGUUUACAUCUUACGAUGUCUAUGUCCUUUGUUGGUGUCUAUAGCUUUCCAUUGUUUGAUGGUGAUGCUUGAGUCAAAGUUACAGUGUUUUAGUUGAAAAGCAAAAUGAGGAGAUUAUAUGAUCUGAAGUAUCUAAUGUGGAUACAACCAUACAUGGUCUUCAAAGUUCUCUGAUUGUUUCUCAUAACUCUUUUCUUCAUUCUUGAUGUUACCUGUGGAAGAAAAUGCAUGUUCCAUACAUGGUCUUCAAAGUUUUCUUGUUAUUAUUUUCUUCCUUUGUUGGUGGCAAAUAUCUUUUCAGUGUGUAAUGGUGAUAUGCUUGAGUUGAAGUUUCAGUGUUUUAUGCUGUUGAAAAGCAAAAUGAGGAGAUUAUAUGAUCUGAAAGUAUCUGGUGUUGAUACAACCAUACAUGGUCUUCAAAGUUCUCUGAUUGUUUAUUGUAGCUUGUACGUACACAUGUUGGUAUUUGUUUCUUACUUUUUUUGUGACUAUGUUUGAUGUUGUAUGAUGAUUCCUGUAUAAAAAUAGUGUUUUAUGCCAUUGAGAAGCAAAAUGAGGAGGUCAUAAAAUCUAUAGUAUCUAAUGUUGAUACAACCAUACAUGGUCUUCAAAGUUCUCUGAUUGUUUCUCAAGAAUUGUGCUCUUUGUAAUAAUUAUUUGCUGCACUAGCCUUUUCAAGUAAAAUGUGGUACUUUGAUUUGAAUUUGUAGUCAAACAAAUAUUAGUGUAUCUCAUGGCACUCUUUUACUUGGUUUUUUGUUGCUUUGCAUAACUAAUGGAUUUGGAAGUUAUCAGUUAUUAAGUUAUCACAAGUUAAAAAAGCAACUAACCGGUCAUUUUGAAUAAGUUUGCUGAGGUUCUGUGGAAGCUUGACAGAAGGGUAUAUGUGUUCAUCAUGCUGACAAGCUUGCUACAUGCUGCCAUUGUACUUGUUUUGAAUGUCUCAAUUCCCAGGCGUUAGGAUGAUCUUGUGAUGGUUAAGACACUGAGGCAGAAUGCUUAGGGCUGACACAUAAAAUUGUUGCUAUCUUACUUUGACCUGGCAUAUGAUUUGUCUAAAUACUGUUGUGCUGUACUUUGUUGCAAUGUAAACCAAUCAUCCCCUAUUGAAAGAUAUUGUUUUUUAUGUGAUAUGAGACGAACUGCAUGUAAAUCAAUUUCUGCCAUACGCUGGUGAAUGGUUCCCCGGUGCAUUAUGCAUAGCUGAUUAAGUUUUAUAAGUUUUUGCUUUUCCCCUAAUACCGUGCCUUAAAUGUUGGCCUGCAUCUACCAAAACAAAUAAAACAGAAAUAGUACUUGAUUAUUAAAUAGCGUAUCAAUCUACAACAUUAAAUUAAACACAAAUUGAUUAUUAAACAUAACACAAUCUUCAUCAAACAUGAUCUUGUGGCUCAUGGGCUAGCUAGUGGAGAAACCGUCCUCUUUCAUUUGUAGCCUGGUUGUGGACGUGUAUCCAUUAUUUAGAUGAAAAUAAAGUUAGCCAUGAUGGUGUUUCCUAAAAAAAGUAGAGUUCAUCACACAUAUGACAUGACAUAGAGGCAGAACUAGUUGUUUUGUUGCUCAUUCCAUGUUCACCACUCCUUGAUGAUAUCUCGUUGAAGAUAUUCAUGAGCAUCCCCAUCUAGCUUCGUCCUAUGAAUCACCCAAGGUCAACAAUGGAACCAUGGUGCUUCCGCCGUUUGUUCUUCUCCAUGUGAAGAACCAUGAGCACCGCAAUGUCCUCAUCUUCCUCGAACUGACGUUACUCAUCCACACAACACAGUUCAUCACAAACAUGCUCGUAUGUUGCAACAAAAAAAAAA
rnacentral:lncRNA from 1 species